AAAUUGGCAAACUUAAGGAAACUUAAGGACGCAAAGCUAUAGGGCCUUCUUUUGAUGGCAGCCUAGCUGCAA
rnacentral:ncRNA from 1 species